ACCCUGGCCGGGGUGCUUACACAUGCGAGUCGAACGGUGAAGCAGAGCUUGCUCUGUGGAUCAGUGGCGAACGGGUGAGUAACACGUGAGCAACCUGCCCCGGACUCUGGGAUAAGCGCUGGAAACGGCGUCUAAUACCGGAUACGAGACAAGACGGCAUCGUCAUUGUCUGGAAAGAUUUUUUGGUCUGGGAUGGGCUCGCGGCCUAUCAGCUUGUUGGUGAGGUAAUGGCUCACCAAGGCGUCGACGGGUAGCCGGCCUGAGAGGGUGACCGGCCACACUGGGACUGAGACACGGCCCAGACUCCUACGGGAGGCAGCAGUGGGGAAUAUUGCACAAUGGGCGAAAGCCUGAUGCAGCAACGCCGCGUGAGGGAUGACGGCCUUCGGGUUGUAAACCUCUUUUAGCAGGGAAGAAGCGAAAGUGACGGUACCUGCAGAAAAAGCGCCGGCUAACUACGUGCCAGCAGCCGCGGUAAUACGUAGGGCGCAAGCGUUAUCCGGAAUUAUUGGGCGUAAAGAGCUCGUAGGCGGUUUGUCGCGUCUGCUGUGAAAUCCCGAGGCUCAACCUCGGGCCUGCAGUGGGUACGGGCAGACUAGAGUGCGGUAGGGGAGAUUGGAAUUCCUGGUGUAGCGGUGGAAUGCGCAGAUAUCAGGAGGAACACCGAUGGCGAAGGCAGAUCUCUGGGCCGUAACUGACGCUGAGGAGCGAAAGGGUGGGGAGCAAACAGGCUUAGAUACCCUGGUAGUCCACCCCGUAAACGUUGGGAACUAGUUGUGGGGUCCAUUCCACGGAUUCCGUGACGCAGCUAACGCAUUAAGUUCCCCGCCUGGGGAGUACGGCCGCAAGGCUAAAACUCAAAGGAAUUGACGGGGACCCGCACAAGCGGCGGAGCAUGCGGAUUAAUUCGAUGCAACGCGAAGAACCUUACCAAGGCUUGACAUAUACGAGAACACUUCAGAAAUGAAGGACUCUUUGGACACUCGUAUACAGGUGGUGC
rnacentral:rRNA from 1 species